AAGACCGAGAAAGCGGCCAAGGCCAAGUAAACCUUUGCAGCUGAACACCACAAACCCAACGGCUCUUUUAAGAGCCACCCACAUCUAUCUGAAGAGUAAAGUUCUGAAAGUACAUUAGGUGUAUUUUACGUGAAGUCACAAUCGAGUUAAGGAAAAAGUAAACGUGAAUAAGGAAAAUUUUACUUAAGGUAUUUAUGAAAAAAUUACAUGUGUAAUGUGGCAUUGUGUUUAAAAGUAGCCAUUAUGGGGAAGUAAAUAGACUUCUGUUCAGAAGCAUCAACAUGUAUAAACAUAAGCGAAUGGAUCACUUUAAAUAUGGGGUUCUGAAUUCUUUACCUGGUCAGGAUAAUGUAAUGUGAAAGCCUUAUAGUAUAAAGGUUGGCUAUACUUUCAGUCUGUGGUUUAGGUCAAACUCCCACCUCUGGAUAUCAAAAUAAAAUAUUUUUUGUUUCAAAAUGCAAGAGUCUAUUUAAGGGACAUACAAAUUGUAACAUGUCAAAUUUACAAAUUGUCAUGAUUUGUAUGGUUUGGCGGUGAGGGAGAAACGCAGACAGGACCCAGGAUGAAGGUGAAGAAUUUUAAUGAACAGCUCGACAGUCCAGUAAACGGGCUGCACGGCAGAGAACAAAGCAAGUGUAACCAGGAUAAUUUUUCUAUAUUAGAUUCAGUUUUAUUUUCCAUUGUUAGAUUUAUUUUAUUUAAAGAUUUAAUUAGAAAUAAAAAAUCCUCCUUUCCUUAAUUUAUUCUUUACAAACUAAUUCAAGCAAGAACAACAUUGUUCUCGCGCGGUUUUAAAGUCACGUGACGGCUGCACGUCAGCGUCCUAAAUUGACAGCUACUGUUCAUAUGGCUGCAAAUUGGCGUCCUAGGUGGGAGACGCUGUCGGACUCUGAUGUGCAGACGCGUGAUCACGGUUUGUCAAGAGGGAACUGGUGAGUGUUGUGUUCGGGAGCUAGCAUGCUAGCACUAGCCUUCCCAGCCUGUGAGUUGCUUAUACACCGAUAUAAAUAUAGCACAUUUAAACUGAAAUGCUCACCAGCAUAAAACACUGUUGUGUAAAAGAUGUUGCAUUUACUUGUGUAAACUCAUGUAAUCAUACAUGUGAAUUGAUUAUUUAGGCCUGUUGACGCAGGCCAGGUGUGUUGCAGACUCCCAUUCAAGCAGUCUGCUUCAGGAUCCAGGAAAAGUCAUGGAUUGUCUGGUAUCAUGACGACCAAACUGAGGAGCUAACCAAUUAGCGGAUCACAGAAAUACCACAUCAACUUCCUAUCAUCAAGAAACUCUUCAGAAUUGGUUGGAGAUUCAGCCCAACAAUCUUCACUUUGAUGGAACUGGAUUAUUAAUUUUGCUUUUUCCCUUUCAUCAACAAAGACUUGCUGACUUCCUUGGUUUAAGGAACCCUUCUGAACUUUAAAUUGUGGACUAACUUGUAUAUAUUGUAAAUAUUAAUACAAUUCACCAAUUUUGCACCAACUAGUUGUCUGUGUUUUACAAUUUGCCUCUUCCUCCAGCAGACAAACCUAGUUUUAAGAAUCACUUGGAUUGACUAACUUGGAUUAUUUAUUUAAAUAAUCCUAAUAGUCCUACAAUAUAAUACAGGUUACACAAGCGCUUAACACCGGAAGCAACUGUAAAAUUAAGACUGAAUACUUGGAGCUGAUGCCGACACAGAACUUAACCAGGUAUACUGUGACGACUAACAGACUGACGCUGACAAAGACGAGGACACGACAAGAGACAGAAACAACAGGUGGACUUAAAUACACACGGACUUGAUUAUGGUGGACUUAAAUACAAGGGAACGAGACACACCUGGGAACAAUCAGAGGCUGACAGGCAACACAGAGACUCGCAAGGAACAGAAGCCAAAAUAAACAGUGAAAACCCAAAUCCUCACACAAAUAUCUAACUGUAUUUGUUCCUGAAAGAAGAAACUUUAUUUAUGUUCAUUUUAAUUAAACUAAUUCUUGUCAUGUCCUGUUUAAAAAAGUCUUUAUUUUGAAAUAUUGUCCUUUAAACGGAAAUGGUUCCUGUUCUGUUUGCGGACUGAAAGGCGAAAAUCGAAUGUUGGCGAGUGCAUGUCUUCACUUACGUCCGUGAUAUGUGUUUAAAUAAAGACGCCACCUUGGAGUUUCA